rnacentral:rRNA from 1 species
UGAACGCUGGCGGCGUGCCUAAUACAUGCAAGUCGAGCGAACGGACGAGAAGCUUGCUUCUCUGCUGUUAGCGGCGGACGGGUGAGUAACACGUGGAUAACCUACCUAUAAGACUGGGAUAACUUCGGGAAACCGGAGCUAAUACCGGAUAAUAUUUUGAACCGCAUGGUUCAAAAGUGAAAGACGGUCUUGCUGUCACUUAUAGAUGGAUCCGCGCUGCAUUAGCUAGUUGGUAAGGUAACGGCUUACCAAGGCAACGAUGCAUAGCCGACCUGAGAGGGUUAUCGGCCACACUUGAACUGGGACACGGUCCAGACUCCUACGGGAGGCAGCAGUAGGGAAUCUUCCGCAAUGAGCGAUGACCUGACGGAGCAACGCCGCUUGAGUGAUGAGGAUCUUCGGAUCGUAAAACUCUGUUAUUAGGGAAGAACAUGUGUGUAAGUACCUGUGCACAUCUUGGCGGUACCUAAUCAGAAAGCCACGGCUAACUACGUG